AAAGCCCACGGCUCAACCGUGGAGGGUCAUUGGAAACUGGAAAACUUGAGUGCAGAAGAGGAAAGUGGAAUUCCAUGUGUAGCGGUGAAAUGCGCAGAGAUAUGGAGGAACACCAGAUGGCGAAGGCGACUUUCUGGUCUGUAACUGACGCUGAUGUGCGAAAGCGUGGGGAUCAAACAGGAUUAGAUACCCUGGU
rnacentral:rRNA from 1 species